rnacentral:rRNA from 1 species
AGGAAUAUUGGUCAAUGGGCGAGAGCCUGAACCAGCCAAGUAGCGUGAAGGAUGACUGCCCUAUGGGUUGUAAACUUCUUUUAUAAAGGAAUAAAGUCGGGUAUGUAUACCCGUUUGCAUGUACUUUAUGAAUAAGGAUCGGCUAACUCCGUGCCAGCAGCCGCGGUAAUACGGAGGAUCCGAGCGUUAUCCGGAUUUAUUGGGUUUAAAGGGAGCGUAGAUGGAUGUUUAAGUCAGUUGUGAAAGUUUGCGGCUCAACCGUAAAAUUGCAGUUGAUACUGGAUAUCUUGAGUGCAGUUGAGGCAGGCGGAAUUCGUGGUGUAGCGGUGAAAUGCUUAGAUAUCACGAAGAACUCCGAUUGCGAAGGCAGCCUGCUAAGCUGCAACUGACAUUGAGGCUCGAAAGUGUGGGUAUCAAACAGGAUUAGAUACCCUGGUAGUCCACACGGUAAACGAUGAAUACUCGCUGUUUGCGAUAUACGGCAAGCGGCCAAGCGAAAGCGUUAAGUAUUCCACCUGGGGAGUACGCCGGCAACGGUGAAACUCAAAGGAAUUGACGGGGGCCCGCACAAGCGGAGGAACAUGUGGUUUAAUUCGAUGAUACGCGAGGAACCUUACCCGGGCUUAAAUUGCAGAUGAAUUACGGUGAAAGCCGUAAGCCGCAAGGCAUCUGUGAAGGUGCUGCAUGGUUGUCGUCAGCUCGUGCCGUGAGGUGUCGGCUUAAGUGCCAUAACGAGCGCAACCCUUAUCGAUAGUUACUAGCAGGUCAUGCUGAGGACUCUAUUGAGACUGCCGUCGUAAGAUGUGAGGAAGGUGGGGAUGACGUCAAAUCAGCACGGCCCUUACGUCCGGGGCUACACACGUGUUACAAUGGGGGGUACAGAAGGCAGCUACACGGCGACGUGGUGCUAAUCCCGAAAGCCUCUCUCAGUUCGGAUUGGAGUCUGCAACCCGACUCCAUGAAGCUGGAUUCGCUAGUAAUCGCGCAUCAGCCACGGCGCGGUGAAUACGUUCCCG